rnacentral:rRNA from 1 species
UACGUAGGGUGCAAGCGUUUGUCCGGAAUUAUUGGGCGUAAAGAGCGUGUAGGCGGCCCGGUUAGUCCGCUGUGAAAGUCCAGGGCUCAACCCCUGGAAUGCCGGUGGAUACUGUCGGGCUAGAGUCCGGAAGGGGCGAGUGGAAUUCCUGGUGUAGCGGUGAAAUGCGCAGAUAUCAGGAGGAACACCAAUGGCGAAGGCAGCUCGCUGGGACGUGACUGACGCUGAGACGCGAAAGCGUGGGGAGCAAACAGG